AAAAAAAAAUUCAUCCAUGAAAGAAGGAAAGAGGAGGGAGAGAAGACAGCGGUCUGUUCUCCCCUCUUCUUCCGAAUUUUUCUUUUCUUUCUUUCUUUCUUUCUUUCUUUC
rnacentral:ribozyme from 1 species